UACAGAGGUCUCAAGCGUUGUUCGGAUUCAUUGGGCGUAAAGGGUGCGUAGGUGGUGGGGUAAGUCGGAUGUGAAAUCCCGGGGCUCAACCCCGGAACUGCAUUCGAUACUGCCUUGCUCGAGUACUGGAGAGGAGACUGGAAUUUACGGUGUAGCAGUGAAAUGCGUAGAUAUCGGGAGGAACACCAGUGGCGAAGGCGACUACCUGGCCUGUUCUUGACGCUGAGGCGCGAAAGCUAGGGGAGCAAACGGG
rnacentral:rRNA from 1 species